rnacentral:rRNA from 1 species
AUUGAACGCUGGCGGCAUGCUUUACACAUGCAAGUCGAACGGCAGCGCGGGGCAACCUGGCGGCGAGUGGCGAACGGGUGAGUAAUAUAUCGGAACGUACCCAAGAGUGGGGGAUAACGUAGCGAAAGUUACGCUAAUACCGCAUACGAUCUAUGGAUGAAAGCAGGGGGCCUUCGGGCCUUGUGCUCCUGGAGCGGCCGAUAUCUGAUUAGCUCGUUGGUGAGGUAAAGGCUCACCAAGGCGACGAUCAGUAGCGGGUCUGAGAGGACGACCAGCCACACUGGAACUGAGACACGGUCCAGACUCCUACGGGAGGCAGCAGUGGGGAAUAUUGGACAAUGGACGAAAGCCUGAUCCAGCCAUGCCGCGUGUGUGAAGAAGGUCUUCGGAUUGUAAAGCACUUUAAGUCGGGAGGAAGGGCUGUAGGCUAAUACCUUGCAGUUUUGACGUUACCGACAGAAUAAGCACCGGCUAACUUCGUGCCAGCCGCCGCAGUAA